rnacentral:rRNA from 1 species
UAGCUAGUUGGUGAGGUAACGGCUUACCAAGGCGACGAUCUGUAGCGGGUCUGAGAGGAUGAUCCGCCACACUGGAACUGAGACACGGUCCAGACUCCUACGGGAGGCAGCAGUGGGGAAUUUUGGACAAUGGGGGCAACCCUGAUCCAGCCAUGCCGCGUGAGUGAAGAAGGCCUUCGGGUUGUAAAGCUCUUUCGGCCGGGAAGAAAUCGCAUGGGCCAAUACCCUGUGUGGAUGACGGUACCGGAAUAAGAAGCACCGGCUAACUACGUGCCAGCAGCCGCGGUAAUACGUAGGGUGCGAGCGUUAAUCGGAAUUACUGGGCGUAAAGCGUGCGCAGGCGGUUUUGUAAGACAGGCGUGAAAUCCCCGGGCUCAACCUGGGAACUGCGUUUGUGACUGCAAGGCUAGAGUACGGCAGAGGGGGGUGGAAUUCCACGUGUAGCAGUGAAAUGCGUAGAGAUGUGGAGGAACACCAAUGGCGAAGGCAGCCCCCUGGGUCGAUACUGACGCUCAUGCACGAAAGCGUGGGUAGCAAACAGGAUUAGAUACCCUGGUAGUCCACGCCCUAAACUAUGUCAACUAGGUGUUGGGUGGGUAAAACCAUUUAGUACCGUAGCUAACGCGUGAAGUUGACCGCCUGGGGAGUACGGCCGCAAGGUUAAAACUCAAAGGAAUUGACGGGGACCCGCACAAGCGGUGGAUGAUGUGGAUUAAUUCGAUGCAACGCGAAAAACCUUACCUACCCUUGACAUGCCAGGAACUUGCCAGAGAUGGCUUGGUGCCCGAAAGGGAGCCUGGACACAGGUGCUGCAUGGCUGUCGUCAGCUCGUGUCGUGAGAUGUUGGGUUAAGUCCCGCAACGAGCGCAACCCUUGUCGUUAAUUGCCAUCAUUUAGUUGGGCACUUUAGCGAGACUGCCGGUGACAAACCGGAGGAAGGUGGGGAUGACGUCAAGUCCUCAUGGCCCUUAUGGGUAGGGCUUCACACGUCAUACAAUGGUCGGUACAAAGGGUCGCCAAGCCGCGAGGUGGAGCCAAUCCCAGAAAGCCGAUCGUAGUCCGGAUUGCAGGCUGCAACUCGCCUGCAUGAAGUCGGAAUCGCUAGUAAUCGUGGAUCAGCAUGUCACGGUGAAUACGUUCCCGGGUCUUGUACACACCGCCCGUCACACCAUGGGAGCGGGUUCCGCCAGAAGUAGGUAGCCUAACCGCAAGGAGGGCGCUUACCACGGCGGGGUUCGUGACUGGGGUGAAGUCGUAACAAGGUAGCCGUAGGGGAACCUGCGGCUG